UACGUAGGGUGCAAGCGUUAAUCGGAAUUACUGGGCGUAAAGCGUGCGCAGGCGGUGAUGUAAGACAGUUGUGAAAUCCCCGGGCUCAACCUGGGAACUGCAUCUGUGACUGCAUCGCUGGAGUGCGGCAGAGGGGGAUGGAAUUCCGCGUGUAGCAGUGAAAUGCGUAGAUAUGCGGAGGAACACCGAUGGCGAAGGCAAUCCCCUGGGCCUGCACUGACGCUCAGGCACGAAAGCGUGGGGAGCAAAAGGG
rnacentral:rRNA from 1 species